rnacentral:rRNA from 1 species
CUGUUUACCAAAAACAUCGCCUCUUGCAAAUCAAAGCAUAAGAGGUCCCGCCUGCCCUGUGACUAUGGGUUUAACGGCCGCGGUAUUUUGACCGUGCGAAGGUAGCGCAAUCACUUGUCUUUUAAAUGAAGACCUGUAUGAAUGGCAUCACGAGGGCUUAGCUGUCUCCUCUCCCAAGUCAAUGAAAUUGAUCUGCCCGUGCAGAAGCGGGCAUAAGCACAUAAGACGAGAAGACCCUAUGGAGCUUUAGACACCAGGCAGAUCACGUCAAGUAAACUUAAAUUAACAAGUAAAAACGCAGUGACCCCUAGCCCAUAUGUCUUUGGUUGGGGCGACCGCGGGGGAAAAUAAAGCCCCCAUGUGGACUGGGGGCACUGCCCCCACAGCCGAGAGCUACAGCUCUAAGCACCAGAAUUUCUGACCAAAAAUGAUCCGGCGAACGCCGAUCAACGGACCGAGUUACCCUAGGGAUAACAGCGCAAUCCUCUCCCAGAGUCCCUAUCGACGAGGGGGUUUACGACCUCGAUGUUGGAUCAGGACAUCCUAAUGGUGCAGCCGCUAUUAAGGGUUCGUUUGUUCAACGAUUAAAGUCCUACGUGAUCUGAGUUCAGA